rnacentral:rRNA from 1 species
UGGGGAAUAUUGGACAAUGGGCGCAAGCCUGAUCCAGCAACGCCGCGUGGAGGAUGAAGGUCUUCGGAUCGUAAACUCCUGUCAGACGGGACGAAGGUAGUGGGGUGAAUAAUCCCGCUGCUUGACGGUACUGUCAGAGGAAGCCCCGGCUAACUCCGUGCCAGCAGCCGCGGUAAUACGGAGGGGGCGAGCGUUAUUCGGAAUUAUUGGGCGUAAAGGGCGCGUAGGCGGCUUUACAAGUCAAAGGUGAAAUCCCUCGGCUCAACUGAGGAACUGCCUUUGAAACUGUAAGGCUUGAGGCCGGGAGGGGGUAGCGGAAUUCCCAGUGUAGCGGUGAAAUGCGUAGAUACUGGGAGGAACACCAGUGGCGAAGGCGGCUACCUGGACCGGUACUGACGCUGAGGCGCGAAAGCGUGGGUAGCAAACAGGAUUAGAUACCCCCGUAGUCC